rnacentral:rRNA from 1 species
CCUACGGGUGGCAGCAGUGGGGGAUAUUGCACAAUGGGGGGAACCCUGAUGCAGCGACGCCGCGUGGGUGAAGGAGCGUUUCGGCGCGUAAAGCCCUAUCGGCAGGGAAGAAGGAGGACGGUACCAGACAAAGAAGCCUCGGCUAACUACGUGCCAGCAGCCGCGGUAAUACGUAGGGGGCAAGCGUGAUUCGGACUUACUGGGGGUAAAGGGGGCGCAGGUGGUAGGGCAAGCCAGGAGUGAAAGCACGGGGCGCAACCCCGGGACUGCUCUUGGAACUGGGCGGCUGGAGUGCUGGAGGGGCAGGCGGAAUUCCUGGUGUAGGGGUGAAAUGCGUAGAUAUCAGGAGGAACACCGGUGGCGAAGGCGGCCUGCUGGACUACGACUGACGUUGAGGCCCGAAAGCGUGGGGAGCAAACAGGAGUAGAUACCCUUGUAGUC